AGUGGACGCUGGCGGUAGGCCUAACACAUGCAAGUCGAACGGCAGCACAGUAAGAGCUUGCUCUUACGGGUGGCGAGUGGCGGACGGGUGAGGAAUACAUCGGAAUCUACUUUUUCGUGGGGGAUAACGUAGGGAAACUUACGCUAAUACCGCAUACGACCUACGGGUGAAAGCAGGGGAUCUUCGGACCAUGCGCGAUUGAAUGAGCCGAUGUCGGAUUAGCUAGUUGGCGGGGUAAAGGCCCACCAAGGCGACGAUCCGUAGCUGGUCUGAGAGGAUGAUCAGCCACACUGGAACUGAGACACGGUCCAGACUCCUACGGGAGGCAGCAGUGGGGAAUAUUGGACAAUGGGCGCAAGCCUGAUCCAGCCAUACCGCGUGGGUGAAGAAGGCCUUCGGGUUGUAAAGCCCUUUUGUUGGGAAAGAAAAGCAGCAGGUUAAUACCCCGCUGUUCUGACGGUACCCAAAGAAUAAGCACCGGCUAACUUCGUG
rnacentral:rRNA from 1 species